GUAGCCCGGGGAAACCCGGAUUAACACCGCAUAAUAUGGUGGAGUGGCCUCACUCUGCUCUUAAAACUUUGGUGGUGAAAGAUGGGCAUGCGUCCGAUUAGCUAGUUGGCGGGGUAGCAGCCCACCAAGGCCACGAUCGGUAGGGGCCUGAGAGGGCGAUCCCCCACACUGGUACUGAGAUACGGACCAGACUCCUACGGGAGGCAGCAGUAGGGAAUAUUGGGCAAUGGAGGAAACUCUGACCCAGCCAUGCCGCGUGCAGGAAGAAGGCGCUACGCGUUGUAAACUGCUUUUCUUGGGGAAGAAAAAGAGGAUGCGUCCUCC
rnacentral:rRNA from 1 species